UAACACUUAAGGUUAUUAUAGCCUGCAAAAACAUCUGCCUGAUUGUCUUGUGACAACCGGGUGGCUGUUUUUGCAGGCUAUACUGUAGCUACA